UGGGGGGGACACCCUUUCUACAAAUCACAUUUCAAUGGUUCUUUCUACCCUCUGCUAUGCUGUUUUGUAGAGCUCCAGUUGCUCCAUAGACAGUGUUCUGGGGUGUGAGGUGGGAGAUCUAACAACCAGACAGGGUAAUGUCAGCUUGACACACAGACAGCUGUUCACUGACGCAAGCAUACAACUGGCUGGAGACUACACAGUGGUCCACAGGUCUGUGGUACUAAAGAGCGGCACCAAGGUUCUGGCGUGUGCCGACAUCCUCCCACAAUCCCCUUGGGCGGUGCAGACCUUCCCCGUUGGCACGUCUUUCAGCAGAUAUGACUUCCGCAGUAAGGUGGCGGAUGUUCUGGAGGUCGACGUGUCCAGGGUCACCAUCCUUCCAGGGUCUCCUGUGGCCACGAGGGACGGGACAUGCCUAGAAGUCCGCUAUCUUGUCUCAGGGGACGUGAGUACAGACAAGAUGAACUCUGUCAAAGACAGUCCGAAGAUGGGCCUGCUGAGACAGACAAAGGUUUGCUCAAGUAAGCAAACUAUUUUAUAAACACUAACACACACAUCCCAUCCCUCAGCAAACACGCAUACACUUACUUGAUUUCCUGCCUGUUGGGCCCUGUCCAGGAGAUGGGGUCCUGGUCCGCACCUGCGGAGUAACUGGUUUGGGGGGCUCGUUGCUGUCCCUGUCCUUGUCCACCUGGUCAUACUUUUGACCUAGUCUAGAAUCAAAUAGACUCUGGAUUUAACCCAGAGAAAUGUAUUUAUUAUUCUAAUUGGACUCUUAAUAUCUCACCCAGCACAGCCAGAAGAGGACUGGUCACCCCUCUGAGCCUGGGUCCUCUCUAGGUUUCUUCCUAAAAUUCGGCCUUCUUAGGGAGUUUUUCCUAGCCACUGAAAUCCAACACUACUGUUGUUUGCUCCUUGGGGUUUAAGGCCGGGUGUCUCUGCAAAGCACUUUGUGACAACUGCUGUUGUAAAAAGGGCUUUAUAAAUAAAUUUGAUUGAUUGACUAGUACAUAAUACAACAAGUGUGGCAUCAGAAACUAAUAAUAGCAAAUACAACUUCCUAUGUUAAAUCUUUCUUAAUGUAAUAAUAUCUUUCAUCUGACUUUUCUUUUGCUAGGAAGUGCUGGACUACGAUGGGAGCCAGGGAGAUAUCUGACAGUGUUCACUAUAGCUGCAGCCUAUGUCAUACACUCUUUGAUGAUCCACCAGUAGUUCAAAUCCUGUACAUGUUAACCCUAAUAGGAAUAAACACUGGUACUUUUCCAAGCUGCAAUGAAGUUUACAUUUAAAUGCCAACUUCCUGUAUUAUAUUGUAAAAUGUCAAAGUUUGGAUGAAUAUUGCUGAGUAUUUUGUUUAAGGUCAAUAUCCAACAUCAGAGCAAAAGUAAUAAGACAAGAAUUGUUCAUUUGUGAAACUGUGCAGUUUCUGCUCAUCCAACCUGCAGUUUUGGAAACUGAUGCUGUACAUUUAUUCCAGUCGGCCACUAUAUUCAUGCGUUUUCUCAUGGUUGUCACUGCCACAUUUCCAUCCAUUUUAUUUUCAAGUCUUGUUUGUGUUUUUAUUUAUUUACAAAUAUUUUGAUGAUUAAGAAAUAAAUUUGGAUACAUCCCUUUACAACUGCA
rnacentral:lncRNA from 1 species